rnacentral:rRNA from 1 species
AGACGACGCUGGCGGCGUGCCUAACACAUGCAAGUCGAACGGAGAUACUAAUGAAGCUUGCGAUUUGGUAUCUUAGUGGCGGACGGGUGAGUAACGCGUGGGUAAUCUGCCUAUAAGUGGGGGAUAACAGUUGGAAACGGCUGCUAAUACCGCAUAUGGUGAUUUAUCAUUAAAGGUGGCCUCUGAAAAUGCUGCCGCUUAUAGAUGAGCCCGCGUCUGAUUAGCUAGUUGGUGGGGUAAAGGCCUACCAAGGCGACGAUCAGUAGCCGGCCUGAGAGGGUGAACGGCCACACUGGGACUGAGACACGGCCCAGACUCCUACGGGAGGCAGCAGUGGGGAAUAUUGCGCAAUGGGGGAAACCCUGACGCAGCGACGCCGCGUGAGCGAAGAAGGCCUUAGGGUUGUAAAGCUCUGUUUUAAGGGACGAAUGUCGCUAUCAGUAAUAUGGGUAGUGAAUGACGGUACCUUAAGAGGAAGCCCCGGCUAACUACGUG